rnacentral:rRNA from 1 species
GGCGGCACUAGCGCGGUGGUCCCACCCCCACCUGACCCCAUGCCGAACUCAGAAGUGAAACGCCGUAGCGCCGAUGGUAGUGUGGGGUCUCCCCAUGUGAGAGUAGGGAACUGCCAGGC